GGCUCAGUCCGUGCGGCGAGGAAUUGUGAAUCCCGCCAGGUUCGGAAGAAAGCAACGGUAAGCAAAGCUCUUCGGGCGCCACUGGGUUGCUGGGUCUCC
rnacentral:SRP_RNA from 1 species